CGAACGGGUGAGUAACGCGUGGGAACCUGUCGCUGAGUGGGGGAUACCACGGGGAAACCCGUGCUAAUACCGCAUGUGGUCACAGCAAUGUGAAGAAAGCAGCAAUGCGCUCGGUGAGGGGCCCGCGUCCGAUUAGCUUGUUGGUGGGGUAACGGCCUACCAAGGCGACGAUCGGUAGCUGGUCUGAGAGGAUGGUCAGCCACACUGGGACUGAGACACGGCCCAG
rnacentral:rRNA from 1 species